GGCAUGGUGAGUGUCAUCUGUUGUUGGCUCACCCACUCCAAGUUGGGAGUUGGUUCAUGUGAAUCAGUCUAAAGCUUGGAUUAUGUGGUUCCUAGAGAGGAGGGUACUGCGUCAGGCUGGUUUCAGAGAGCAGCGAGUACAUCCCAUUUCUUACGGUGGAAGGAUAACGAGUCAUUGCACCCCAGGCC
rnacentral:SRP_RNA from 1 species